GAGCCGACCUGGUCGACUUCUGGAUCGUCAAUGUCCGAUCGAACCGCAGACGGCAUGCCUGCGGCCGACUACGGGAGAGAGCGCUGAGCGUCACCAC
rfam:Rhodococcus pyridinivorans SB3094, complete genome.